GUCUAUGGCCAUACCGCCCUGAACGCGCCUGAUCUCAGAAGUUAAGCAGGGUCGGGCCUGGUUAGUACUUGGAUGGGAGAAUCUAUUCCCUUAACCAAGUUCUCUCCUCCUGGUAGAUAAAGCCAAUGACU
ensembl:rRNA 5S_rRNA 5S ribosomal RNA